UACGUAGGGGGGCUAGCGUUGUCCGGAUUUAUUGGGCGUAAAGAGCGUGUAGGCGGCCAGGUAGGUCUGCUGUGAAAACUCGAGGCUCAACCUCGAGACGUCGGCGGAAACCAUCUGGCUAGGAGUCCGGAAGAGGAGAGUGGAAUUCCUGGUGUAGCGGUGAAAUGCGCAGAUAUCAGGAAGAACACCCGUGGCGAAGGCGGCUCUCUGGGACGGUACUGGACGCUGAGACGCGAAAGCGUGGGGAGCGAACAGG
rnacentral:rRNA from 1 species